UACAGGAAUCUACAGGUUGGAGAUUCGAUACGAACAGACAAAGACAAUCAAGAUAUCUGAGACGAGCAUCCGUCCAUUGGAAGAAGUUCAUUAACAUGUUCAAGCCUCAGUGAAGAAUAAAGUUCAAUAUGUUUCUGCUAUCAAGAUUGUCUGAAGAUCAAGUAUCAAAGACCAGAAGAUUCCAGUAUAUUUAAUUUGAUUAUUUAUAAUCAAAUUUAUCGAAGCAACAUCU
rnacentral:lncRNA from 1 species